UACAUACUCCCUCCGUCUGAAAAUACUUGUCGGAGGAAUGGAUGUAUCUAGACAUAUUUUAGUUCUUAAUACAUUCAUUUUUAUCCAUUUCUCCGGCAAGUAUUUUCGAACGGAGGGAGUAUUUC
rnacentral:pre_miRNA from 1 species